rnacentral:rRNA from 1 species
CCUACGGGUGGCAGCAGUAGGGAAUCUUUCACAAUGGGCGAAAGCCUGAUGGAGCAACGCCGCGUGCAGGAUGAAGGCCUUCGGGUUGUAAACUGCUUUUAUAAGCGAGAAAUAUGAUGGUAACUUAUGAAUAAGGAUCGGCUAACUACGUGCCAGCAGCCGCGGUCAUACGUAGGAUCCGAGCAUUAUCCGGAGUGACUGGGUGUAAAGAGUUGCGUAGGUGGCAUAAUAAGUAGCUAGUGAAAUCUGGUGGCUCAACCAUUCAGACUAUUAGCUAAACUGUUAAGCUCGAGACCGUUAGGGGUAACUAGAAUUUCUAGUGUAGGAGUGAAAUCCGUAGAGAUUAGAAGGAACACCAAUAGCGUAGGCAGGUUGCUGGGACGGUUCUGACACUAAGGCACGAAAGCGUAGGGAGCAAACGGGAUUAGAUACCCGAGUAGUC